AGAAUCAACGCUGGCGGCGUGCCUAACACAUGCAAGUCGAACGCGAAAGUCCCGCAAGGGAUAAGUAGAGUGGCAAACGGGUGAGUAACACGUGGGUGACCUGCCUUCGAGUGGGGGAUAACGUCCCGAAAGGGACGCUAAUACCGCAUGACAUCCUGCUUUUUAAGAGGUGGAGAUCAAAGCUGGGGAUCGCAAGACCUAGCGCUUGAAGAGGGGCCCGCGCCUGAUUAGCUAGUUGGUGGGUAAUGGCUCACCAAGGCAACGAUCAGUA
rnacentral:rRNA from 1 species